rnacentral:rRNA from 1 species
AUUGAACGCUGGCGGCAGGCUUAACACAUGCAAGUCGAGCGAGCGGCGGACGGGUGAGUAAUGUCUGGGAAACUGCCUGAUGGAGGGGGAUAACUACUGGAAACGGUAGCUAAUACCGCAUACCAUCAGAUGUGCCCAGAUGGGAUUGGCUAGUAGGUGGGGUAAUGGCUCACCUAGGCGACGAUCCCUAGCUGGUCUGAGAGGAUGACCGGCCACACUGGAACUGGGAAACGGUCCAGAUUCCUAGGGGAGGAGGCAGGGGGAAAUUUUGCACAAUGGGAGCAAGCUUAAUGCAGCCAUGCGGCGUGUGGAAAGAAGGCCUUCGGGUUGUAAAGCACUUUCAGCGGGGAGGCGUUACUCGCAGAAGAAGCACCGGCUAAUUCCGUGCCAGCAGCCGCGUAAUAC